rnacentral:rRNA from 1 species
UACGUAAGGGGCAAGCGUUGUCCGGAAUCACUGGGCGUAAAGCGCACGUAGGCGGUGUAGCAAGUUGGGGGUGCAAGCUCCGGGCUUGCGGUCGAUACGGGCAGGCUCGAGUUCGGUAGGGGAGACUGGAAUUCCUGGUGUAGCGGUGAAAUGCGCAGAUAUCAGGAGGAACACCGGUGGCGAAGGCGGGUCUCUGGGCCGAUACUGACGCUGAGACGCGAAAGCGUGGGGAGCAAACAGG